AUUUCUUCAGAGAAUAAGAGAGGCCCUGAGGCACAUCCCCAGCUGUGGGCUCAGAGGCAGAGCUCUGGGGCAUCUCCACCAUGGCCUGGACUCCUCUCCUGCUCCCCCUCCUCACUCUCUGCACAGGUUCUGUGGCCUCUUCUGAGUUGAUUCAGCCACCUUUGGUGUCCGUGGCUUUGGGACAGACGGCCACCAUCACCUGCCAGGAAGAGAGCAUAAAAAGCUAUUAUGCUUACUGGUACCAGCUAAAGCCAGGCCAGGCCCCUGUGCUGGCCAUCUAUGGGUAUGUCAGUUGGCCCUCAGGAAUCCCAGGCCGAUUCUCUGGCUCCUACUCAGGGAACACGGCCACCCUGACCUUCACUGGGGCCUUGGCUGAGGACUAGGCCAACUAUUA